rnacentral:rRNA from 1 species
AGCGCGCGCCAUGACAGUCGAGCGGGGACGACUUAACUGAACCUUCGGGGAACGUUAAGGGCGUCGAGCGGCGGACGGGUGAGUAAUGCCUAGGAAAUUGCCCUGAUGUGGGGGAUAACCAUUGGAAACGAUGGCUAAUACCGCAUGAUGCCUACGGGCCAAAGAGGGGGACCUUCGGGCCUCUCGCGUCAGGAUAUGCCUAGGUGGGAUUAGCUAGUUGGUGAGGUAAUGGCUCACCAAGGCGACGAUCCCUAGCUGGUCUGAGAGGAUGAUCAGCCACACUGGAACUGAGACACGGUCCAGACUCCUACGGGAGGCAGCAGUGGGGAAUAUUGCACAAUGGGCGCAAGCCUGAUGCAGCCAUGCCGCGUGUGUGAAGAAGGCCUUCGGGUUGUAAAGCACUUUCAGUCGUGAGGAAGGUAGUGGUGUUAAUAGCUGUAUCACUUGACGUUAGCGACAGAAGAAGCACCGGCUAACUCCGUGCCAGCAGCCGCGGUAAUACGGAGGGUGCGAGCGUUAAUCGGAAUUACUGGGCGUAAAGCGCAUGCAGGUGGUUUGUUAAGUCAGAUGUGAAAGCCCCGGGGCUCAACCUCGGAAUAGCAUUUGAAACUGGCAGACUAGAGUACUGUAGAGGGGGGUAGAAUUUCAGGUGUAGCGGUGAAAUGCGUAGAGAUCUGAAAGAAUACCCGGUGGCCGAAGCGGCCCCCCUGGACAGAUACUGACACUCAGAUGCG